rnacentral:rRNA from 1 species
AUUGAACGCUGGCGGCAGGCCUAACACAUGCAAGUCGAGCGGAUGAAGGGAGCUUGCUCCUGGAUUCAGCGGCGGACGGGUGAGUAAUGCCUAGGAAUCUGCCUGGUAGUGGGGGAUAACGUCCGGAAACGGGCGCUAAUACCGCAUACGUCCUGAGGGAGAAAGUGGGGGAUCUUCGGACCUCACGCUAUCAGAUGAGCCUAGGUCGGAUUAGCUAGUUGGUGGGGUAAAGGCCUACCAAGGCGACGAUCCGUAACUGGUCUGAGAGGAUGAUCAGUCACACUGGAACUGAGGCACGGUCCAGACUCCUACGGGAGGCAGCAGUGGGGAAUAUUGGACAAUGGGCGAGAGCCUGAUCCAGCCAUGCCGCGUGUGUGAAGAAGGUCUUCGGAUUUUAAAGCACUUUAAGUUGGGAGGAAGGGCAGUAAGUUAAUACCUUGCUGUUUUGACGUUACCAACAGAAUAAGCACCGGCUAACUUCGUG